CCCUCCCUCUCUUUUUUUUUUCAUUUUGGCUUCACCACGCUGCCGUUACACACGGCCCUCAAGUGGUCGCUUGUGUGUGUGUGUGUGCGUGCGUGUAUCCUCCUGCGUCCCUUCGGCAAACUCCUACGCACUCUCUGUGAUCUCUAUAAAGGAAUUUUUUUUCUGUAUCCGUUCCGCCGCCAUUUGCCUUCUCUUCCUUUCCUCUCUUACCUCACAGACACCGUUGACUGUGCGCCGGGGGCGUGAAGAGAGGGCAAGGUGGGAGGGGGACAGAAAUCAGGGGGCAGAGACGAUAUGCACGCGCGUGUGUGUGUGCCGCCCUCUCCUGUCUGCGUUUUCCUUCCUCACUUGUGGUUUUCGUUUUCGCUUGAACGCUUAUUUUUUGUUAUUGAGUUUUUCUCCCGUUUGAGACGGCGGGUAGUCUUGCGAGAGGAUACACACAGUCACGCGGACGAAAACACUCCGGCGGGCCUCUGGACACGCACAUGUCGGGCCUUGUGUCGGUAGAGUCGCAGCUGGUCAGCACCGCGCAGCGCCACUUCCACAUCCGUUGUGGCCAUGUACAGUCUCGGCGCGGUGACGGCUGGCUGCUGAUCUCUUUUGCGCCUCUUGGGCCCGAUGCCAGGCUAGAGCUGGAGGUACAGGCACUGUGCAGCGCGCUUGUGCGCGAUGUUACUGGCGGCCGCGGUGCCUCAGUGCGGCUCACCGGCGAGGAUGAAGAGACGCAGUUUGGGAAGUUGGCGGACAAGAGCGUCUCCUUCGCAAAGCUGCUGCGCCAGUCGGGUGUGUCGCUGGGCGUAGGGAGUGAUCCGGGCAAGGAUGACGACAACAGCGCGAGUGUGGAUGCACUUCCAAACGCUCCUGGUGUGGCGGAGAUGGUGGAGAUGCUCUACCACGAUGUCGUGGCAGAGUCUAAGCAGGGCGCACGCGCCAUUGUGCAGUUUCCGUCCCUUCUGUGUCCUCAGGGGGCCCGCUGCGACGUUGCGCUGCAAGGCGCGAUCUGUGUGAAAGCGUUUUCGCGGACUGCCUCGCCCCUUGUGGCGGAGGUGGAAACUGCCACUCCGACGGCCGCGGUGACCGGUAACGCUGACGACGAUGACACGGACGACGAAGCGGAGACGCUUGGCGAUACGGCUGACGGUGGUGCGCAGGCGCCCCACCGCUCUCACGCUUCGGAAUUGGAGGAUAAGGCGACCGUCGUAGAGCCGAAGUCCACUGUGAAUGGUAAGGCUUUCCGCAGCCUGGAUGACUCGAUGCUGCGAAACUCGUACAGCUCGCUGAAGCUGCCAGAAGGGGAGCUGGCGAAGGUGUGGAUUGACACCCGUGUGUGGGCACAGGCACUCGCGUCGAAUGCCGGCACCUCUGUCGAGGCCGAGCUACCAGCCGCGUGGCGUUCUAGGACAUUCAACCUUGCUGAGGCUCCCGAGGCGCUGCGCAUGGUACACCGUACGCUGGCCCAUUACUGGAACGAAAACCGCGCCGCGAACAGAGACCGCGUCAAGGUCACGACGUUGUCACUGCUGAGCAUCGUCUCAGGUGACUUGAGGGAGUACCUGCGUGGCCAGGUGGAGCUGUACGGCCCUGACUGGCGAGCACCAUGGCGGAUGCCUGUCGAGGAGCUGAGCUGCGCCGUUGACCUGUGCAAGCAGUGGAGCAGGACUGUAGCGCGGUUGGUGCGGCAGGACUGGGUCGGCUGGGAGGGCCACAUGUUCUACGACGAGAGCUUCGACGCCUUCGCGCAGCGCCUGCACACAGUGCUGCGGAUUCGUGAGACGCUUGCGAGCAUGCAAGAACUGGGCGAGGCGAUUCCGUCCACUCUGCAUCCAGAGCACAUCUUCGCGGAGGUGAAUGCUGUCGACAUGCGCGGUGUGUCGACCACAGCGUGGGAGUCACGGGUUGCGCAGUUUGAGAAGGAGUUCUCUUUCGCCGAGCCCGCCCUGCGGAACCGCGUGAAGCAACUCUUUCAAUCUCCAGCUUCGGACGCGCAGCUGCGUCUUCUACGGAAGCACUGCGCGCUGUUGCGCCCCUGCGAGGUGCGCAGUGCUGUGACUCGCGAGAUGGACGGCGUCGCCGCGUACCUUGUCGAGCAGCUGAAUCGCAUGUACGCGCGGUUUGAGAACAACGGCCGACGCGCGACGACGCCGCUGCAGAAGCUGCGUGCGGCGAAAGGGUGCGCGGCAGAGUGCGUGAUGGUGCCCGAGGAGGCGGCCAAGGUGUUUGGCGCCACGGAUGCGCUCACGGAGAAGGUGACGGCCCACGCGCGCGAGCUGAUUCUCAAGGCAGCUCAGGAGGAGGCGGUCAUCAUGAAGGACUGGUGUGCAUCGGUGGAAUCGACUGCAAAGAAGAUGCUCGAGCUUCAAGACGCUGUUGUGGUGGCCAAAGCUGAGGAUGCACAGCUGCAGCAGCAACGACCGUACCUGCUGACGUGCACAGUGCACUUGUCACUGCGCAAGUUCGUGCAGGAGGUGCGCAACGUGCGGGCGUGGCUGAACGAUAUCGAGGUGCGACAGGGCCAGGAACGGCGCCGUGGCGGCACUGUGGAUCGCGGAAACAGCACGGCGCAAGAUGAGUCGGCGACGGCGUCGCAGCUCUGGCGGCUGAGCAGCAGCACCGAGAGCGCGAUUUGCGCCUGUGAGCACCUCUGUGCCGCAGCGCUGCGUACACAGCAGUGCGUCGCCAACCACAACACCGUGAUUGCGCAGAUUCUCCCGUGCACGCGCCGGAUGCUUCUCCCUGCUAUCGAAAAGAGCAUGUCACAGGUGCUGUACGACGACACCGCCACGAGAGCUGUGGCCGUUGCAAAUUACCAAGAGCUUGAAGGCGCCAACCUUCGUUUCCAGAACACAAUCGAGGCCCUCAGCAACGCCAACCGCCAGGUCCGCCGCUUUCACGAGGAGUUCGGCCAGCACGUGAUUGCCCUCAUGGGCGUCGACCUCACUUCGCACAUGGAGCAGUGGCGCAUCACCGUCGACGACCUGCGCAGCAGGAUGGAGGACUUCCUCGCGAGGCAGCACUUGUCAGACCACGAGGACUGGCGCCGGCAUUGGGAUGGGCAGAUCUACAAGGCCCUCGAGUACCAGUAUCGCCGCGGCUUGGAGAGGUUGCACGAGGAGAUGACGGAGUUCAAGGUGGAGUUGGUACUGAGGCAGGGCGUUGUACACUUCAAGCCCAGCUUGGAGGCCAUCCGCGAGGCCUACUACGUCAAACUGCGCGAGUUUGUCAGCGUACCGCUGCGCUUCCGCGGCUUGCAGCCUAAGCGGCAGGACGCGAGCACGCCGUAUGAGAUGUACCCCUUGAUGCCACUCACCAACAACGACCGCAUCCUCACAGUGCACACGAAAGCUAUGGAGCUCUUCGCGAAGCUCAACCGCGUCCGCAAAGCAUUUCGCUCGCACAUCGUCGUUGGUCUGUGCGGCAUCAACGGCUCGCCUCACCUGGACUCGAUUGCGGAUGCGUGGAUGGAGAAGGUGGCCGGGAAGAUCAGCCAGGGCUUUCGUACUGUGGAGGACCACCGGGAGAAGAUAGGCAAGAUCGAGGACGUCAUGAAGAUUGACUGUUUUGCCAUCAGCACCGUUCCGGUGCGCGCGAGCAUCGAGGAGCAUCUGCAUCGCCUGGAGGAGGCCCUCCUGAACGGAAUACGCCGCCACAUCCAGACCUCGCUGAAUGAUAUCGACGAGUUUGUGCUGGGCGUGUCGAACAUUGUGGAGCGGCAACCAACAACCAUGGACGAGGUCGGAGAGUCCAAUAAGCGCUACAAGGAGUCGUUGGAGCAAGUCAGCAUCUACGAGAAGAAGCUGGAGGAGGUGCUGGAGCAGAACAAGGAGCUGCGCAACCAUGUCGGCACCUCCAUCGACAUAGGCGCCACCCGCACCCGCUGGGACCAUAUGAAGGACGCGAUGGCGUCUCACACUAAGGUGAUGGAGGCUGCGGUAUCGAAGAUGCGCGUCUCCCUCAACGGCCUCAUCCAGCGCUUCCUGAAGGAUGAGCAGCGUUUCGCUGACGGGUGGAAGCGGCAGAAGACGCAGCUGAUGCAGGCCUUCCUGGGCAAGGAAGCCAAGACCAUUCGCAAAGUGCUGCUGUCCCUCAAGGAUCAGCUGCAUGACCUGGCUGACCUCGAGCUCCAGGCUAAGGAGCUGGAGUCCAAGUGCGAGUUCUUUGGGCAGGUGAAGCCGGUCUUUGGAGUGCUGCGAGACACCAAGAAGGACGUGCAGGCGACGAGUGCCAUGUGGUCGCUCUACGACGCCUUCGAGGAGGAGCUCGAGAAGCUGCGCGCCGAGGACUGGCUCACGUUCCGCGCGCAUACGUUUCAGUUCGAGGACUUCUGCAAGGAGUGGCGAACGACGCUCAACGAGAAAAUGAAGGAGAGCCACAGCGCCGCCGUGGAGGACGUGGCCGGGGAGGGCAAGAGGAGGAAGUCGAACAAGGACAGCGGCGACACUGCGAAUACAGCUAACAGCGCCCACAACCCCAUCGCGGUCUAUCUGCUGAACAUGAUCACGGACUGGGCGAAUGUGGUGCCGCUGCUGAAGUUUGUUCGCGGCGAGGGCUGGAUGACGGAGCACUGGAACGAAAUGUUUCGGCUCCUCAACAUACCCAAGGAGACGACCAGCACAAGCCUUACGUUCGGCUUGAUUCUCGACCACUACUCGGAGCUGCUGGCAAAGGAGGGAGAGCUGAAGCACCUGCACGCCCGCGCACACGGCGAGAUCCAGCUGCGGGAGGCGUUGCAGGACAUGCGCAAGUGGGCGCUCGAGGCUGUUUUCAACCUCACGGCACCGACGGAGAGCGCCAGCAAGGUGCGCCUCAUUACGGACUGGAAGGAGAUUAUGACGCAGGUCAGCGACAACCAGGCCCUCGUGAACUCGCUCAAAGACAGCCCGUUCUUUGUGCACUUCGCCGACGAGGCGUCUGGUUGGGAAUCGAAACUCGUUUCCCUCUCGCAGAGCCUCACGUUGCUGAACAGCAUUCAGCGUCGGUGGGCGUAUCUGGAGCCCAUCUUUGCCCGCGGCGCGUUGCCGCACGAGCAGGCCCGCUUCAAACGCGUGGACAAGGAGUUUGUUGGCAUCUUGCGCGAGGUCGAGGCGGACCCGCGUGUGAUGUCUUUGGUAAACCAGACGGACGUGCAUGAGAAGCUGAAGGGCAUCCUCGAGCAGACGGAGCGGUGCCAAAAGUCACUCAUAGAGUUCCUGGAGGCGAAGCGUGGCAAGCUGCCGCGCUUCUACUUCAUCAGCGACGAGGACCUUCUCGAGAUGCUCGGCCACAGCCAAAACCCGUCUGUGAUCCAGGUACAUCUCAAGAAACUCUUUAUGGGCAUCCACGCCGUCACAUUCAGCAGCGACAACACCAGCAUCACGCACAUGAUUAGCGCCGACGGAGAGGAGGUGGCGCUGCGCAGGCCGGUGGCGGUUACUGGCAGUGACGUGGAAGACUGGCUUCUGGCACUAGAUGCGAGCAUGCAGGACACACUGCACGAGCUGCUCAUCAGCUGCGUCAAGCAGCCAGACGCGACCACAAAGGACAGUGUCCUCGCCUAUCCGUCGCAAAUCCUUCAGGUAGCGCAGGGCGUGCACUUCGCUAGGGAAGCCGAGGAGGCGAUCGUUGCGCAGUCGCUCAACGGGUUGCUCGCGUCGCUCCGUCGGCGGCUCGACCGACUCGUCGCCAUGACGCCAGAGCUGAACGCGCUGCACGUGCUGAAAGUGAAGGCGCUUAUCCUCGACACGAUUCACAACAUUGAGGUUGUCGAGCUCCUCAUGAAGCGCAACGUCCGCCGCGUGGACGAGUGGUGGUGGACGAAGCAGUUGCGGUACCGCAUGUCUACGGAUGGCACGCACCGCUGCACCGUCCACAUGGCCGACACGCAGUUCGACUACGCGUACGAGUACCAAGGCAACGCGGCGAAGCUGGUGUACACGCCGCUGACAGACCGCUGCUACCUCGUCCUCACCAAGGGGAUGGACCUCGGCUACGGCGGCAACCCCUACGGCCCCGCGGGCACCGGCAAGACAGAGUCGGUGAAGGCACUCGGCUCGGCGAUGGGCCGCCAGGUGCUUGUCUUCAACUGCGACGAGGGCAUCGACUUCAAAGCGAUGGGGCGCAUCCUUGUCGGCAUUGUCAAGUGCGGUGCGUGGGGCUGCUUCGACGAGUUUAACCGCCUCAAAAUCGAUCAGCUUUCCGCCAUCUCACAGAUGAUCCAGGUUAUUCAGCAGGCCCUCAAGAACAAGGAGCCGAGCUGCGUGCUGCUGAACAGUGAAAUCACGGUGAACACCAACGCUGGCAUCUUCGUGACGUUGAACCCUGUUGGAAAGGGCUAUGGCGGUCGUACGCAACUGCCGGACAACCUAAAGCAGCUCUUCCGCGAGGUGGCGAUGAGUGUGCCCGACAACGAGCUCAUCACAUCGACGGUGCUCUUCUCUGAGGGGUUUACGCAUGCGCGGGCGCUGGCCAAGAGCAUUGUCGCGCUCUACCGCCUCUCUGGGCAGCUCAUGAGUCGACAGCAGCACUACGACUGGGGCCUGCGCCCGCUGAAGGCAGUGCUGCGACUGGGCGGUACGCUGCUGCAGCGCUGGAGGAAGGAAAACGCCGGCGCCGCAGCAACUCAGACGAUUGAGGAGGAGCUCAUCUUGCAGUCUCUGAACAUCAACACCAUCAGCAAACUCACCUUCGACGACGCGCGAGUCUUUCAAGGACUGCUGCGCGACAUCUUUCCUGGCGUGGAGUCGCGGGACGUCACUUACAAGGAGCUGGAGGCGGCAGUGGCGAGCGCCGUCAAAGCACUGGGCUUGCAGCCGAUUCCCGCACAGCAGAAGAAAGUGCUUCAGCUGUACGAGGCGCUGCAGCAGCGCACGGGUGUGGUGCUGGUGGGCCCCAGCGGCAGCGGCAAGAGUACCCUGCUGAACAUCCUUCGCAAGGCCCUGCAGACGAUGCAGAUUGAGGUGCCCAUGCACGUCAUGAACCCCAAGGCGAUGACGCGGCGUCGUUUGCUCGGCUACAUGGACGCUGACACACGGGAGUGGUACGACGGUGUCCUGACGGCGGCGGCGCGCGACGUUGUGAAGCAGCCGAAGGAGGCGCGACCGUGGGUGCUGUGCGAUGGCGACAUUGACCCGGAGUGGAUCGAGUCUCUCAACUCGGUGCUGGAUGAUAACAGGCUGCUGACGAUGCCGAACGGCGUGCGUAUUCAGUUUGGCACCAAUGUGAACUUUAUCUUCGAGACGCACAGCCUCGAGUAUGCGUCGCCAGCGACGGUGUCGCGCAUGGGUGUGCUCUUCUUCUCCGAAAAGGAUGUGCAGCUGGAGGCGGUGGUGGAGGCCGGCAUGGCGUUCAAGUCACUGCAUGCAAAGAAUGUGGUGCAGCCACUCAUCCUCAAGUAUGUCUUCGCCGCUGUCGACGAGGCACAGCGACUGAACGACUUCUCUGUUGCCACGACGCGCAUGGGUCUGCUGCAGACGUGUCUGCUGCACGUGAUGCUAACCAAGAAUGCGCAGGACUUCGCUUACUCGCUGGUACGCGGCCUGUGCGGAUGCCUGAAUGCCGGCAGCGCGGCGAAGCUGGCGGGCUGGAUCUACACCACAAUGGGGCAGAAGCCGUGCUCCGACAGUCGCCCGUUCGACACCUACUGGGACGACACGCUCCAGCGCGCUGUAGAGUUUACGGCAGACCUCUCGACCCCGGUGACCCCAGCCGAGCUGCUGGCGGGCCGCCCACCGGUGGUGCAGACGGUGGAGGUGAAGCGACUCGUCUCCACGCUGCAGCCGCUCUUGGAUGAUGGCAGCUGCAAACCGUUUUUCGUUGUCGGGCCGGAGGGGUGCGGGAAGGGCGCCUUGCUCGACUACGUCUUCUCCACCCGGCCAACAUUGCGCACGACGACGAUCAACUGCAGCGCGCAGACGGGCUCCACGCACGUGAUUCAGAAGAUCGAGCAGGCGUGCGUCUUGGCAAACACAAAUGCCGGGCCCAUGUACCGUCCGCGCGAAGGGGAGCGGCUCGUCAUCCUUCUCAAGAGCGUGAAUCUGCCGAAGGCGGACAGGUACGGCACCGUGGAGCUGCACUCCUUUCUGCAGCAGCUUAUCCUGUACAACGGCUUCUACAACCAGGACCUCGAGUGGGUGGGGGUUGAACGCGUGCAGAUCGUCGCGAGCAUGAACCCUACUCCAUCGGCCGGCCGCUACCCGGUCACACCGCGGCUACUGGCGCUCGCCAGCAUCGUGACCGUAUCCUACCCGUCCAAGACGAGUCUUGUGCAGGUGUACGCCACGUACUGGGCGAGUCUGUUGCAGCAGACGAACAUUGGCCAAGGCAAAGACUACGAAAAGGGCACGCAGCUCGCGCAUUUCAUGCUGCAGGUAUACGACAAGGUGCGUCGCCAGUUUGAGGGUGAGGAGUACGCGCACUUCUCCUUCAGCCCUCGCCACCUUACCAAGUGGGUCACCAACGUACUCCUCUACCACAUCGACACCCGCACCACGCUGCCGGCGGUGCUCGCCUACGAGGCCAGCCGCAUCUUUACCGACUGCCUCCCGAGCGCCGAAGACCGUAGGCAGGCGCUGCGGACCUUCUCGGAGCAGCUCGCCACGAUCGGCUACGCGAUGCCGGCAAAGGAGGAUCGCUUCACCACGAUGUUCGUGACUUGGUUUGACCCGGAGAACGGUGCCGCCGCCGUUGCCGCGACUGGCGAUGGCGCGAGAGGCAACAGAAGUGACGGCGGUGAAGAGGCUGGCGGAGCUUCCGCGGCGGCGGCGACGAGCCACCGUGCGGUGCUUAAGCUGGUGCAGAAGAGGUACGACGAUGUGCGGAGCGAGGCGGAGCGCGGACUGCUGCAGUACAGCCGCGAGUUCAAGGAGCUCCACGUCCCUCUCAUCCCGGAAAUUUUGUGCUGGGUGACCUACGUCGACCGAGUGCUGGCUCGCCCGGGCGGCCACCUCAUCUUGGUUGGCAGCACCGGUGUCGGGCGGCGCAACGCCGUGCUUCUCGCUGCGCACCAGCAACGGCGCGAGGUGGUAUCGUUCAACAUGACGCACGACUACAACCUCAAGCAGUUCCGGCUUGACCUCCGCGGCUUCAUCCAGCGCGCCACGGUGCAGAAUAUGCCGCUGGUCCUCCUCAUCGAGGAUCACAACAUUGUCGACGCGGCUUUUCUGGAGUACGUGAAUGGCCUGCUAAGCAGCGGCGAGGUGCCAGGGCUGUUCUCACAGGAGGAAAUGGAGACGAUGUUCUCAUCAAUGCGUGACGAAGCGGCCAGCGAUGGUCACAUGGGGGCGAUCUACGCCUACUUUGUGGAGCGGCUGCAGCGCAACCUGCGCAUUGCCCUCAUCAUGGACCACCGUCACGAGCUCUUCAUGAAUCGCCUGCAUUCCAACCCAGCCCUCAUGAGCAAGUGUGAGCUACUGUGGAUGGGGACGUGGAGUGGCGACAUGACCAAGACAAUCUGCAAGAUGUACCUGGCGGACGAAAUCGCCGCGCUCGAAUCAAACCCGACGAACAAAGGCUUCCACGUGCACCGCGAGGUCAACGCCAUUCACGAAGGCAUGGGCGUCCGCUCCACUCCGCAUGAUGUGCAGGUGCUGCUCAGCACAUUCCGCGCCAUCCUAGCCAGGAAGAGCAGCUCCAGCAAGGAUAAGAUGGAGCGGUUGGAGGCGGGUUUAGUGAAGCUGAAGGAGGCCGAGGAGAGUGUGGAAAAGGUAAAGAAGGACGUCGCGGAGAAGAAGAAGGAUGUUGAGAGGAUGCAGAAGGCGGCGGACAAGGCGCUGAACGAGAUCCAGUCCAGCAUGGAGGAGUCCCAGGAGCAGCGUGACGAGGCGGCAACCCUACAGGAGCAUCUCAAGGAAGAGCAGACGCUCAUUGCGAAGAGCCGCGGACAGGUGGAGGAGGAGCUUGGGAGUAUUAAGCCAAUGAUGGAAGCCGCGCGUGACGCCAUCAGCACCAUCCGCAGCGAGCAGCUCAACGAGAUCCGCUCCUUGCUAUCCCCGCCGGAGGCGAUCCGCGUCGUUCUCGAGGGCGUCCUAGCGUUGCUCGGUGUGAACGACGUCUCGUGGCAGUCGAUGCGACAGUUCCUCGGUGAGCGUGGUGCGAAGCAGCGUAUUCUCGACUUCGAGGUCAAGAACAUGACCCCCGACAUCCGCCGCCGCGUCGAGAAGCUGCUGCGCGACCGCGCCUCCUUCUUCAAGGCCGAAACCAUUCAGCGCGCCUCGGUGGCGGCGGCGCCGAUGGCGGAGUGGGUCAAGGCGAUGGUGGAGUACUCAGCCAUCAUGGAGCGCAUCUCACCUCUGACGCAGCAGCUGGAGCAGCUCGAGACGAACCAGAAAGACGGCGCCGCCAAGCUCGAGCAUCUGCAGAAGAGGCUGAAGAAAAUCGAUACCAAAGUUAAGGAGCUGCGCGAGGGCUUCUCUGAGAAGUGUAAGGAGGCAGAGCGGCUCAGAGGUAAGCUGCAGGCCGCCGAGGAGGAACUGAUGACGGCGAAGGACCUACUGGACAAGCUGAAUGGCGAGAAGGGUCGAUGGGCCACCGAGGCGGCCGCGAUCCGGGAGGCGAACAACACGAUGCCGAAGCGUGCCCUCGUCGCCGCCGCGUUCCUGACUUACCUUGGCCAAGAGACGGAGGGCGGCCGGCGCCGCUUUCUGAAGAUGUGGUGCGACCGGCUGGGCUUUCCAGAUGUUGUCGAGGUGACGCACUUCCUUCGAACCGAAGGAGACCUCCUCCAGUACAAGUCCGAGGGUCUGUCGGCGGAUGGACUCAGCCUGGAGAACGCGGUGGUCAUGCUGGACACGGAGCAGACGCCGCUCGUCGUCGACCCAGCGAAUAAGGCGGUUGAGUGGAUGCGAGAGCACCUGAAGAGGGCGAACACCGUUGUCGAGACGAUUUCACUGCACGACGAGCGCUUCACACACACGCUCGAGCUUGCCAUCCGCUUCGGGAAGACGUUGAUCGUCACGGAGGUGGCCGACAUCGCGCCUCUGCUGUACACCAUCCUGCGCCGCGACCUCGUGCCUGCUGGCGCGAAGCGAGUGGUGCAGGUGGGCAACAAAACAGUGGAGUGGCAUGACAACUUCCGAAUCAUGCUCUUCUCGCGGCAGUCGGAGCUGCGACUGUCCCCCAGUGCCGCGGCUCUGGUGACGGAGGUGAACUUCUCCGUGACGAGCCUCGGCCUCGAAGACCAGCUUCUUGGCGUCACGCUGCAACAGGAGCGACCGGAGCUGGAGAAGCAGAAGGUGGAGCUGCUCAAAGAUGAGGAGAGUUUGCAGCUGCAGCUCAACAAGCUGGAGGAGCGUCUUCUCAGCGACCUCGCGGAGUCGCAGGGCGGCUUGCUCGAGAACACGAAGCUCAUCAAGUCCCUCAACGAAGUCAAGGUGCAAGCCUACAACAUCCAGCAGUCCCUCGCGCGCUCGCACGAACUGCAGGUGGAGCUGGAUGAGAAGCGCGAGGUGUACCGCCCCUUCGCGCACCAUGGAGCUCUUCUCUUCUUCAUCGUUCGCGACAUGGAAACGCUCAAUCACAUGUACCAGUACGGUAUCAGCGACUACAUCGCCCUCUUCACGCAGACGCUCAAGACCUACCAGGGCGACGACGAGGCGGGGGCGAAGGUGCAGGCUCUGAUCGCGAGCUUCACGAAGACCUGCUUCCACAGUGUGGCGCGUGGACUGCUCAAGAAGGACCGCAUCGCCUUCGGGCUCCACGUCCUGCACGGUCUGUGGCCAGCCGAGUAUCCGCAGGAUCUGUGGGGCGCUCUGGUGGGGACCAUCACUAACGUGAAAGCGAUCGAGGACUCGCAGUUGCCGAAGUGGGCGCCGCCGUCCAGCAGGAUCAAGUACGCCAGCAUCGUCUCCAGCGCGGCCGGGCAGGCUCUGGCGGAGAAGUGGCACGGGGGCGACCCGAGUCGGUGGGCCGCCGUCAUGAACCACGCCACACCGGAGAGCGAGUUGGGGCCACGUGCCGCGGGCAGCAGCACGGACGCGAGCGCGGCCAUCUCAGACAUGGAGAGGCUGCUGUGGAUCAACACGUUUCGUCCGGACCGCGCGCCCGCCACCUCGCUGCAGAUCAUCCUGCGCAAGCUGGAGCUGGCGUCGCUAGCCCCCGUUAUGUCCCUCGAGAAUACGAUCCUCAGUAACGGCGCCACCGCCCCGAUUCUGCUGAUCACCUCGAGUGGCGCCGAUCCGAGCAUGGAGAUACAGGAUGUGGCGACGCACCUCGUGGGCAAGGAGCGCUUUGUGCAGCUUGCGCUUGGUGGUGGCCUGACAGACAACGCGCUGCAGCAGGUGCGGCGCUGCGCCGUGCAGGGCGACUGGCUGCUGCUCAAGAACCUCCACCUCGUUCUGGACUGGGCCUCCGUGCUGGAGAACGAGCUGUGCUCGAUGCCCCCGCCGAACACGAGCUUCCGCCUCCUCCUCACCACCGAGCCGCACGACCUCUUUCCCAGCGUGCUGUUGCGCAUGUCGAACAAGGUCACUGUGGAGGCGCCGCCGGGGGUGAAGCAGAACCUGCUGCGCACCUACAGCCUCUGGGACAGCGCGUUUCUCGCGGCACAGUCGCACGCCGGCGCGCGGCUUCUCUUUGGACUUGCCUGGUUCCACGCGGUGGUGCAGGAGCGCCGGACAUAUGUGCCGCAGGGCUGGUCCAAGUGCUAUGAGUUCUCGCCGGCUGACCUAAAGGCGGCGACAAAUGUGCUGACAAGCUUGGCAACGAAGUCGCAGCUGGACUGGGUGACGCUUACUGGCUUUCUGGAAACCUGCCUCUACGGCGGCCGCCUCGAGAACGCGGCGGAUGAGAAGGUGCUGCAGCUCCUCAUCCAGACGUACUUCAACGAGGGCGUGCUGCUCAAGGAGAAGUCGCCACUGUUUUCCGGCGUGACGGCCGCGCACGCAGGCGACCACGAUAAGAUGGUGGCAGUGCUGCAGGCGAACAUGCCCGACGUCGACCCGCCGGCGCUGCUCUGCAUGUGCGACAACGCGGACCGCACCGUGCAGGAGGACGCGGCACACGCCACGCGCGAGUCACUCCGUGAGCUGUGCAAGAAGGAAAGCACGGCGCUGACGAGCGGCGAGAAGUGGCGAGAGCGGCUGAGACAAGUGAUGGAGGUGUGGAAGGGCAGUGGCAUUGCGGCGAAUGGCGUUCCGCAGACGGUGUCGAGCCACACUCGUGACCCAGAGCCGAUGGAGGUCUUCUUCAUCAGCGAGGUGAACUUGCUCACCGCCCUCAUCAAGGAUCUGUCAGCCUUCUUUGAUACGUUGCACGGCGUGGCGGAGGGAACCAUCAUCCCUGACGCGGAGGUGCGCGCUGAGGCGACCGAGCUGAUGAGCGGUCGUAUGCCGAGCCGCUGGCUGGACCGCAUGGACGGUCCACAGGAGGCAAAGGUGUGGCUCGCGCUGCUGUGGCGCAAGUACAACACGACACGCGACCUCGCGAGGGCGCCGUUCAGCACGACGGCGGCGUACGACCUCUCGUCGCUACUGCGGCCGCAGACCUUUUUCAACGCCCUGCGGCAGCACACGGCGCGCGUGACAAAGGCGCCCCUCACGGACCUUGUCUUGCUAGCCGCAGUGGACAAUGUGGCGCACGGGAGCGUCAUCGUCAAGGUGGCGGCGAAGAGUCUGGUGAUGCAGGGAGCGGCGCUCACGGGCGACGGCCGCCUCGCGGCUGUGCAGGCUAACUCGCCGUCCUCCGUGCAGCUCUGUGUAGACAUCGCCGUCAGCUGGGUGCCAGCGGUGAAGGUGAAGCACUCCAGUGAAAGCGUUCUCAUUCCAGUCUACGCGGACGCAGAGCGCCACACAAGGAUCUUCCCGCUGCGUGUGAAGUGCGCCGGCGAGGCGGAGGCGACGAAGGCGGCGCUCAACGGUGUUGCGUGCUACCUGGUGAGCCUGUAGACCUGCGCCUUCAUCAAUGCCUCGGUGCUUUGGUGCGCGCUUAGCGGCGACAGUGCAGGCGGGUGAGGGGUGUGUGUGUGUGUGGGGGGGGGCGCAGACCCCUUCGUUUUUUUUUUUGUCCUCGCGCCUUCGGUUCACGUCUCCCUUCUCGCGCAUGCUUGUCAGGGGACAUUGUGAGUGGCGAUCACGUGUGUUGCCGCAGCGCCGUGCUUGUAUCGCUAGCGGGUAGAAGGGAUGGUGCGCGGUGUGCACAUAAUGGUGUGUAUGCUGGCGCGCGCUGGAGUUUGGGUGCCUUCUCAUGGUUCUUCACUCCGCAUGCGCAUCGCUGCGGAAGGUGUGCGGCGAGUCCGUGGACGCAGGCCGCCCCGCUUCUUUUUGCUAUGUGCUUUCUGUCACUUGCUCGUUGAUUCGAUGUUUUACAAGGGGCUAUACGACCAGCUCGUGCUGGCGUUUUUGCUUCCCCUGUUUCAACCAUUAUAGAGAGCCUUCAAGGGCUUUGAAUCCUCUUUCAAC
rnacentral:misc_RNA from 1 species